rnacentral:rRNA from 1 species
GAUGAACGCUAGCGGCGUGCUUAACACAUGCAAGUCGAACGGAAAAGAGAAUAUCUUUUUAGUGGCAAACGGGUGAGUAAUAUGUGAGAAUUUCCCCUUAUGACAGAGGAUAACUUUUAGAAAUAAUGGCUAAAACUCUAUAUGUUGUUACUAGCAAUGAAUUCAUUUCUAAGAUAGGAAUGCAAUUUGUUAGUAGCAAUAGAAAAAGAAAUUUGUCUAAGGAAAAGACUCAUAUUUGUAUUAGCUAGUUGGUAGGGUAAGAGUCUACCAAGGCGACGAUCAUAGUUGGCCUGAGAGGAUGAUCAGCCACACUGGAACUGAGACACGGUCCAGACUCCUAUGGGAGGCA